CCUUUCAACAAUGGAUCUCUUGGCUCUCGCAUCGAUGAAGAACGCAGCGAAAUGCGAUAAGUAAUAUGAAUUGCAGAAUUCCGUGAAUCAUCAAGUCUUUGAACGCAAAUUGCACUUCUUGGUAUUCCGAGGAGUACACAUGCUUGAGGGCAGUU
rnacentral:rRNA from 1 species